AUUUUUGUGUAUUCCUGAUUAGAACUCUAAUUGCCUCCUUCCAGAAAGUAAAAAUAACUGUAAAACGACUCUAUUUUUAUCAUUAACAAUGUUGACAAUAAAAUAAAAUCAAUUGGAAUUGUAAUCGAGAGACAAAUUUAGGACGAAGGCACUUUUACUUGGGUAGUUUAUAUUGUAAUCAAGAUUUGCCAAACCACUAACCGCAUGUAUCAUUUGCAUAUAUUUGAAAGCAUUACAGUAGCUUCUGUUUUCAAUAGG
rnacentral:lncRNA from 1 species